AAAGGUGGUUAGGUAUAUAUAUAUAAUAAUAGUCUCAUGAUUGUCUAUAAUAAAGGUAAAAUUGUUGUGUAGAUUAAUAAAUCAAAAGUGACUACGUCAUACUGAAUCUACGAUGGCCUUGAGGGAAACUGGGAUCGGAUACCCCACUAUUCUCGGUUGUAAAUAAAUGUUAAAUUUACCAGAGUACUACGAACAAUAAAAAAUUUAAAACUCAAAGAACUUGGCGGUGUUUUAGACCAAUUAGGGGAACCUGUCUCGUAAUCGAUAGUCCACGCUAUACCUGACCUUUUAUUGCGAUUAUCAGUUUGUACACCGUUGUCAUCAGUUAACCUUUUAGAGUAAUGUGAGUUAGCAAAAAAAUUUAUAGAUAAAUUUAAAUGUCAAAUCAAGGUGCAACUUAUGAGAAGGAGAAGAUGGGUUACAAUUAAAACUUAUAAGAUGGAUUAGAUAAUGAAAUUUGACUAUGAAGGAGGACUUAAAAGUAAGGUUGUUAUAUAAAAAUAGUCUGAAUCUGGCUCUGAAAUGUGUACAAACCGCCCGUCGCUCUCGUUGAAAAAGGAGAUAAGUCGUAACAUAGUAGGGAUAAUGGAAAUUGUUCCUGAGUUA
rnacentral:rRNA from 1 species